UUUGAGAUUUUUUGGAAUUUUGAAAAAGUUGUCUUCAGCUUCAUCGCAAGAAACACCAUAUUUCGUUAUUUUGAUCAAUUUUAAAGCAAAACUCUAAAGCUAAAGAAUAAAGAUCCUUUAAAAAAAAAGCUUUUGUCUGGAACGAUAAACUUUAUAGAUCCAACUGAGCAUUUCUGGAUGAAUCUGUCGUAAAGUUGAAACGUCGAAACAAAAAUAUUAAUUCCAAAGAAUUACAUUUGGAAAUAAUGGAGAAUUCUAAAUGGGAAGCAGUUGCUCGUGUUUAUGACCCUUUAAAAGCUGGUAGCAUAGAUGGUACAGAUACUAUUCCUCAUGAUCAUGGCAUUGUUCGAGCGAUGCAGGCAGAAUAUAAACCAAAUAAACUUGUCAUUGGUGAUCCUAAGGCUACAGUAUUUGUUGGAAGAUUGAAUCAUCACACAGAUGAAGAUACUAUAAAAAAGAUCUUUUCCAGAUGUGGAGACAUCAGGAGGCUUCGGUUAAUCCGAGAUGUGGUGACCGGGUUCUCCAAAGGGUAUGCUUUCGUGGAAUUUUAUGACAAGUACGAUGCUAUCAGGGCGGAACGGGAACUCAAUAAGAUUCAAAUUGAUGGCAAAGAAAUCCUUGUGGAUAUAGAAUGUGAAAGGCUUCUCCCGGGUUGGAUUCCUCGGAGAUUAGGUGGUGGACUAAGUGGAAAAAAAGAAUCCGGACAACUACGUUUUGGGGGCAAAGAAAAGCCUUUCAAAAAGCCCAUCCUACCUAACGUUCACCACAGCAGAAGAGAUGACCCAGAACCAUCAUCAUCAUCAUCACACAGGAGACGUCACCAUUCCCGAGACCGACAUUCCUACAGAAGAAGUCGGCAUUACGACUGAUUGAAAGGUUCCCCCGUGAUUUGUACCACGAGAUCUCACUGUGGGAAAUAAGGUUCACUUUCAAAUGUCUCUAAGCAAGGGAGUGUCAAGAAGAUUUCCUGCAAAAUAAAGCUCUUUCACGGGCUGAAUUGAUAAAAUGCACUCGAGGAAUGGACUCACGCCAACUUUUGUCCAAAGAAAUGGGUAGAUUAAAAAAAAACAUCAUAGUGACUCCUUCCAAAAAACCUUGAGGAACCAUUGGAUGCAGUUGGAUUUGCCACGAAUACGAUAAAAAAUGUGACGCAGUUUUGUGUCACAUAAUAUAGGCGCACGUCUGCUCACAGAGGCAUGGAAAAUGGCAAGUGGCCAAGUUAGGACAACUCCAAUUUAUUGAAUGUUGCAGGAGAGAAGAGAAAAUAGUGAUGGGCUUUUGUUACUUGCAUUUUAUAAUUUUACUAGGGCCUUAUUUGCUAAUUGUCUUCAUUGGAUUAUAAAUGAGUGGAAACAAAAAACGUUUCUAUGGAAACUACAAAAGACAGAAAAUAUUUCAUUAAGGGUUGUGAAAGGAAAAAGCUUUUAAUCUGCCUUGUCAUCUUUUCCCCUCUCUCUGGAUUAGUGUGAGUGCAGGUGUGUCUGCGUAGAAGAGAUGAAAACAUGCCACCAUAUGUGUGUUCAGGGAAUUCUUCAGAUUUCUCGAAAGUGGUGGAUGUUGGAAUCAUUGCAGUGUGUGUUAGUGCAUCGCCAAGGAACUCCGCAUCUUGUCAUGGAGGGGAGUGUAAGAUGGAUCAUCGCCAAUUCAAAGACCGAAAAUCAGAUUGACUGGUUUAGAUUGAGCCUACAAAAUUCAAUCCUGCAUGGAUGUGAUUGUGAUAUACAUGUGAUAAUAAAUGAUCAUGGCGGUAACAAUCUUUGGAGAGGGCGACCUUGAAGAGGGUUUGAAUGUAGAACGAGAUGAUGAACAUCGUCAACAAGAACGUGGACCGA